ACCCUAUCCACCAUCUGCCUACUCCUUCCUCCCCUCCCGCUUCUCAGAGUGAGGGGCACACAGUGUAUGACUCCUGUGUUAGCGAGUUGAGUAUGCAGGGCAUGAUUCCUGGGGAACAGUAGAUAGCUGUUGGCCACAAAUUCCCCAGUUAGGACCAGGUCUGACCUUUAGAACCCCAGGACACAGACCAUUAUGAAGCAGACAAUUCUCAAAGCUCUAGAAGACAGUGGGGACCACUCUUCAUGUACUUCCAUCUACCAACUGGCUCAGGAGCUUAGGUGGCUCCCUCCAAUGGUGAUCUUCAAGCAAUCCCUUCCUUUCCACUCUGCCAUCAGCUCCUUAAGACAGGCAUUGGGAACUCAAAACCAAAGAAUAAGGUUUUCUUGCCAUUGUCCUAUUUUAUCUCCAAGGCCAAGCUCCAUGAAGUAGCGAGAGAUGGCCACGUGGACUGUGGCAGAGUACAGGCACGGGCUCCAGAAUGAACGUUGCUGUUAUUUAACCACUUGCUGCCUAUUUCCUCAUCUGUGAAAUGGGAUGACACUGGUGAACUCAAUCAGUUGAUAUAUGCAAAGCUCUUAGAACACCUAUCUGCGCGAAGUGGACACCAGAGAAAAUGUUGACUGAACCAGGAGAAUCAAACUGAGCAGAAAGGAAAGCAGAAAAUGGAAGUGGACAAAAUUAUCUGGGCCUCCCGGAUAUAUGGACCUGUUUCACCUUCUCUAGGAAAUCACUCUAAUGUCAAAGAUAAUGGCAGGACUGGAAAGAUGGCUCAGUGGUUCAACAUGCAUACUGCUUUUGCAGAGGACCCAAGUUCAGUUCCCAGCACCCACAUCAGGUAGCUCACAACCGUCUGUAACUCCGGCUCCUGGGAGUC